rnacentral:rRNA from 1 species
GACGAACGCUGGCGGCGUGCCUAAUACAUGCAAGUAGAACGCUGAAGCUUGGUGCUUGCACCGAGCGGAUGAGUUGCGAACGGGUGAGUAACGCGUAGGUAACCUCCUGGUAGCGGGGGAUAACUAUUGGAAACGAUAGCUAAUACCGCAUAAUAGUAGAUGUUGCAUGACAUUUGCUUAAAAGGUGCAAUUGCAUCACUACCAGAUGGACCUGCGUUGUAUUAGCUAGUUGGUGGGGUAACGGCUCACCAAGGCGACGAUACAUAGCCGACCUGAGAGGGUGAUCGGCCACACUGGGACUGAGACACGGCCCAGACUCCUACGGGAGGCAGCAGUAGGGAAUCUUCGGCAAUGGACGGAAGUCUGACCGAGCAACGCCGCGUGAGUGAAGAAGGUUUUCGGAUCGUAAAGCUCUGUUGUAAGAGAAGAACGAGUGUGAGAGUGGAAAGUUCACA